rnacentral:misc_RNA from 1 species
GUGAAUCAUCAAAUCUUUGAACGCAUAUUGCACUCUCUGGUAUUCCGGAGAGCAUGCCUGUUUGAGGGUCAGUAAAAAGAACCUUUCACCAAUUUUUUUGGUCAAAGGCAAUGAGUUCUCCGCGUUUAUAGCUGUAGCUUGAAAUAAAUUGUAAAGUCUUAUUUUAGUCGAGACGCGUAAUAAUAUUAUUUCGUGAAUUCUUCAUUAUGGGACUUUCGUGUUUUGAUGCAUACAAAUUUGGUUUGUAUGCGAUCAAUACAUAUUUUU